rnacentral:rRNA from 1 species
AGCCUGAUGCAGCCAUGCCGCGUGUGUGAAGAAGGCCUUCGGGUUGUAAAGGCACUUUCAGUCGUGAGGAAGGUGGGGUAGUUAAUAGCUGCAUCAUUUGACGUUAGCGACAGAAGAAGCACCGGCUAACUCCGUGCCAGCAGCCGCGGUAAUACGGAGGGUGCGAGCGUUAAUCGGAAUUACUGGGCGUAAAGCGCAUGCAGGUGGUUAGUUAAGUCAGAUGUGAAAGCCCGGGGCUCAACCUCGGAACUGCAUUUGAAACUGGCUGACUAGAGUACUGUAGAGGGGGGUAGAAUUUCAGGUGUAGCGGUGAAAUGCGUAGAGAUCUGAAGGAAUACCAGUGGCGAAGGCGGCCCCCUGGACAGAUACUGACACUCAGAUGCGAAAGCGUGGGGAGCAAACAGGAUUAGAUACCCUGGUAGUCCACGCCGUAAACGAUGUCUACUUGGAGGUUGUGGCCUUGAGCCGUGGCUUUCGGAGCUAACGCGUUAAGUAGACCGCCUGGG